rnacentral:tRNA from 1 species
GCCGAUGUGGUGGAAUUGGUAGACACGCUAUCUUGAGGGGGUAGUGGCGCAAGCCGUGUCGGUUCGAGUCCGACCAUCGGCACCA